rnacentral:rRNA from 1 species
AUUGAACGCUGGCGGCAGGCCUAACGCAUGCAAGUCGAGCGGAUGAAGGGAGCUUGCUCCUGGAUUCAGCGGCGGACGGGUGAGUAAUGCCUAGGAAUCUGCCUGGUAGUGGGGGAUAACGUCCGGAAACGGGCGCUAAUACCGCAUACGUCCUGAGGGAGAAAGUGGGGGAUCUUCGGACCUCACGCUAUCAGAUGAGCCUAGGUCGGAUUAGCUAGUUGGUGGGGUAAAGGCCUACCAAGGCGACGAUCCGUAACUGGUCUGAGAGGAUGAUCAGUCACACUGGAACUGAGACACGGUCCAGACUCCUACGGGAGGCAGUAGUGGGGAAUAUUGGACAAUGGGCGAAAGCCUGCUCCAGCCAUGCCGCGUGUGUGAAGAAGGUCUUCGGAUUGUAAAGCACUUUAAGUUGGGAGGAAGGGCAGUAAGUUAAUACCUUGCUGUUUUGACGUUACCAACAGAAUAAGCACCGGCUAACUUCGUG